GGGGGGCCAAGGAAGCCCCCUGCUUGCUUGGUGGCAGCCCGGGAAGGAGCAAGGCCGAGCAUCUUCUGGAUGUUCUGCCUGAUAGACAUUGUGCAGAGAAUGUAGAGGAAGAUGAAGGAGCAGUCAGUGUAAUCCUCACCCAGAAGGUUGCGGUGGGACAGGCCCUGGAUGUAUGAGAGGGGGAUAAAAGGAAGCUUUGCCACCACUCGGCCAUCAAAUAUAGAAUUAAACAUCCCCAUCAAGGCAGUGAAGCAGAAGCCAAUGGCAAACAUGGAUUUCAUCCGAACCAUUGACAAGUCUCUGUUGUUAUUCUUCAGUUUCUCCUCUUGUCUCUCUAUUUUCUUCUUCUGCUGUCGGCCUGCUGAUUCAGUUAUCGUUUCUUUCUUCUUUUCCAAUUUUUUGCUCUGUUUUUCCACUUCAGCCUUUAAUCUCUUGUAUUUGUCUGUUCGGUAUACCAGGACCCAGGUUAUACCCUCAGCCAGCAGCGCAGUACAGACGGAAAUGAAUACGAUGAGAAGGGUAUCGGCGAACAUGGUGCUCAUGGUGCCGCCAGCCCCACCGCCGC
rnacentral:lncRNA from 1 species